CACCCAUCCCGAGCGGCCGAGAGAUCUGGCUCUAUGACGCCGCAGCAACCGCCUGUCACGUAGUGGUGCUAACGCCAGAACCGAUGGAGC
rfam:Arthrobacter sp. 7749 genome.